CCCUAUUUCAUAUCACUAGUCAGCGAAAUUUCGACGAAAUUUUUCAAAAUUUUCAUCCAUGAUUCUAGUUACACUUUUAUCUAUCAUUAUUCCAUGCAUUUUACUUUAUGAGUAUUAUCACCUAACAUCUCUUGCAUUGUACAUGACUUUGGUGGAUUAAGCAUUGCAUAGAAGCUCCAAGUCAUGAAUUCCUUUCAAAUAGAUGAUUUGUGCACUACCAAUUUAUAGACUUAGGUAAUCCAUUAGAAGUUGUAGUGCAUUACUUUCUAAUUGGAGGGAUAAUUGGUUUUAACUAU
rnacentral:lncRNA from 1 species